rnacentral:rRNA from 1 species
UACGUAGGGACCAAGCGUUGUUCGGAUUUACUGGGCGUAAAGGGCGCGUAGGCGGCGUGUUAAGUCACUUGUGAAAUCUCUAAGCUUAACUUAGAACGGUCAAGUGAUACUGAUGUGCUAGAGUGCAGAAGGGGCAACCGGAAUUCUUGGUGUAGCGGUGAAAUGCGUAGAUAUCAAGAGGAACACCUGAGGUGAAGACGGGUUGCUGGGCUGACACUGACGCUGAGGCGCGAAAGCUAGGGUAACGCAAACGGG